CUGUUUCGUUGUAUUUGGUUUGUUGGUUUUGUUCUUUAUUGUGCAACCCAACAGGCACAAAACAAACUUGGCAGCAACUGAAGAUUAAAUGUAAAAAUAUACUUCAAACAGCCAAUAUAAAAAAGUGAGGGCCGAAAAACAGGUAGGGGUUCACCACCACUCUCACAGAGGCUGAAGAGAUGGCCCUCAGUCAAAAUAGUGGGUGACCUAUUGCUGAAGGCAUCUCUGGAGUAAGCUCAUCUGACCCAACCACCCCCCUAAGACACAAUGGCCUACAUAAGAGUUACUGGUGGUGUAUUCUGUCUGGGGGAGCCUUCUGCCAUAACAGACCUCCAUGCAGUUGAGGAUAAUGAAGACCCUGUGUCAGCUGCCAGAGAGAGAAGAUACAGAGGCCUAUUGAGGUUUACACUGUAAAAAUAACAUCUAACAGUUGAUAGUGUUGUAUCAUAAUAAAACAUAAACAUUAUUUUUCUCUAGUAGAGCAAUGCUGGAAAUUACAAUGAGGAAGAGGGUCCAUCCCCCUCUACAGCACAACUUACCUCAGUAAGAUGUUGUUCAGCAUUGGCCCAUGACUUACAAUGAAACUAAGUAGACCUGGCACUGUGAAAUGUAAUGUAUUUUUUUUGUGUUCCUAUAGCUCCCUGUGAAACAGCUGUACAAGGUGUACUUACAGAAACAAAUUGUAUUUUAUUUAGAAAUGUACCACAUAAGAAUGCAAAAGAUAGAAAUACAACGGCUGGAACAUCAGUUAAAGGUGGGUGAGGUGCCCACAGGUGGAUGAUUUUACUUGUCUGAACAACACAAAAUACAAACUACUGUACUGCAUUUGUACUUGCAGGAAAUAAGGAAGACUUCAUAAAAAGAAAGGCAUAUAGUCUUUAUUUGACACUGGGGAGGUGAUGGUCAAUCAGAAAUGAUGGUAGCAUAUUGUGUCUGACUGCUCUUCCAUCUCGUGCGUCAGCUGGGUGGUCAGGAUCAUUAUCAGGACUGUUGAGUAGGACAUUGAUUUCCUCUAAUUGUGGCAAUGUUGUGGAGAAUCACACAUGCCCUUUCUAGGGUGACUCUGAGCCUACGAAUGCACUGGAACCGGGCCUUGAGCAUCCCAAUGGUCAUCUCUACCCUGGCUUGUGUCCUGCAGUGAGCCAAGUUAUAACAUUGCUGCGGGCCGGGCUUAGGAUCAGGGUAAGGGGUCAGCAAAUAGGGGUGGCAGGGGUACCUUCUGUCACCGAGCAGGUAACCAUCAAACUCUCCUAUGAGGAUACAGUUUACAUUUUUAGUUGCAAUUGGAGGAAACAAAAUAUUGAUUAUAAUAGGAUAUAGCUCUAUAUAUAUAACUCACUACGGGCAACUCUAGCGCUCAGUGUACACUCAAAAAAUGUGUGAGUUAUGCACAGACCCAGGCCACUUUGCUUCCACGUUGCUGAUGAUGUGGGCUGCAUCACAUAUGAUCUUCACAGUGCAGAACAGUAAUUAGCUUUCAUUUGGAAUGCUAAAGGCUACUAUUUAGGCCUACCUGUACAUUAAUGCUGUUCGGAAAGACUUCCUAUUCGCAUAUGCAGCCAAUCAUACCUGGCACCAUAAAAUAUAUCAAAUUAACUGAUUAGUUCUUCAAGUCUUAUUGCUUAGAUUGAUACCUGCAAUUUUGUGGAAUUCUUCUGAGUCUUGUGGGUCUGUGACUUGGGAA